UGUGAGGUGCAUGUAGGCAUGGUCUUAGUGAUGCAAUACGUGAUAGCGUGUGAGUGGUACAUGGUUUGUGUGGUUGGCGGGCUCUAUGCUUGUGCAUUGAACCGUUCAUUAGCAUACCUUUUCAUUGUUUGCUCCAAGUGCACCAUGUGCCUUGGGUGACGUGUGGUCCCUAUGUUGUAUUCCUACCGACGGUAUUCACAUUAUCCCCUUAUAGGCGCGAUUUUCGCUCUACAUCCGUAAAAGGAGGUCGAGCGGACAAAGAAACUUGGUUCGUUAUCCACCCGUCAAGCGAAAACAAGCACGAUAGGACUGGAUUACGAUCUCAGGUUGGGCCCUUGGAUGCAGUAUGUUGAGUGGGUGUUGAUGUUAAAUCGUCGCACACCCAAAACGUUGUACGAUGGAUGACAUUCGAGUGCGUGGUGACUCUUUCUUGAUUGAAAGGGCUCAUGCGUGUCGAUGUCGAUCGAGGAGUGCUACCUGGUUGAUCCUG
rnacentral:misc_RNA from 1 species